rnacentral:rRNA from 1 species
CCUACGGGAGGCAGCAGUAGGGAAUCUUCGGCAAUGGGGGCAACCCUGACCGAGCAACGCCGCGUGAGUGAAGAAGGUUUUCGGAUCGUAAAGCUCUGUUGUAAGAGAAGAACGUGUGUGAGAGUGGAAAGUUCACACAGUGACGGUAACUUACCAGAAAGGGACGGCUAACUACGUGCCAGCAGCCGCGGUAAUACGUAG